GGCAGCUGAUCGAGUGUCUCACUUUCUGCGAAGUGCCUUUCUCCCUUCAAGCAUAAUGAAGUUCGUCUCAAGGUCCUUUCAUCACCAUCAUCAAAAACUACAGUAUACCAACUAGCAUCUGUUAACUUGCUGAUAACAGCUUCUUGAAAGGAUCCAUCAGGCAUUUUGGUUUCAACCAUUGCACCAACUCUUAGAGGUCCUUUCACUUGAUCAUCUUGAACUAACUGAGUUGAGUUAUCCCCCUUCAGGACCACCUUGACUUUCACAAGCCUUUUCACUGUCUUAAUCUUUGCCUCGCAGAAGGCACCGCGGUACUUGGCACUGACAUCCGUUCCCACUGUCAGGUAGGCAGGCUCAUCCGCUGCCUUCAUUUUUACCGGCUAUGUGAGGGAUUCCAGCUCCGAGCCUUCUCCUCGCCGCAGUCAGGCAGGAAAGCGCUGGAAAGUCGCAGCGAAGUGGGCAGCGCCCGGCUCGGCUCGGCGCCGCAGUUCCCUCCGCGACGACGACAGCCCCGCGAGCGGCGGCGCUGAGCGCGGCCCCGCUCCGCCCCCUCCUCUCAGCCCGGACUCACAGCGGAUCGCCAGCGACGAGCCCAAUAACAAGCUGUUGAGCAGAAUCGGUCCUCCUCGAACUCUCAUUGGCCCCCUCGUGACGCCCCGGGGGCUCUGCCCCGCCCGGAUUGGGCGCCGCGGACAGCACCCCCAUUGGUCGACAAGAGCCAGGCGGAACCUAUUGGUCAGCCAUAGACGCAGGUAGAGCUACGGAGACUUUUCAUUGGCUUUUCGCUGGAGCGCCUGUCGAUUGGCGGCAGUUGAAGUGAAGUCAGAGCUCCCGAACCUCUGAUUGGUGAGAGCCGGAUCCGGAUGUAGCUGUGAACGCGUCGAUUGGCCAAGCUUGGGGGUCAGGAAGAGCAACGGCGCGACGCGAUUGGCGCUAGCCGUCUCUUAGAAACGCGGAGGGGCGGGGAUGAGGGGAAGAGCGGAGAGGGGGCGCGGGCGGAGAUGGCGUCCUGCGGCGGCGGCGGGCCGGGGCGCGCGACGCGCAUGCGCGGCGGUCAGCCUCCCGGCGCCAUUUUAUGUGAGGCGCUUUCCCAUUUUAGGCCGCGGCAGGGAGGCGGCGGGAGUGGUCGGCGGUUCUCCUGCGGGGGGUUGGGGCGGGGAGCCGCGGGGCUGAGCCCUGGCAGCGGACCCUCACGGAGGCGGCAGGCCUGGCGGCAAGCCCCUUCCAGUGCUCCGAGGAGGCAGCGCGAUGUUUCGUCUUCGUAGCCCCUCGAGUGAUGGCGGUGACGGUCGCUCCCGCUCGGCCGCGAUGGCGGAGCGCGCCCGGCCGGCCCCGGAAGUGAAGCGGUGACGGAGGGUCCCUCUGGCGGCGCUCGGCGGAACCGCUCGGGCCGGGAAGGCGCUGAGGCGGCUCGUUGGGCAUCAGGUAGGGGCCGCGGGGCCGCCUUCCCGCGGUGCUGCGGGGAUCGGUCAGUCAGUCAGCACGGAGGGGGUCGGGGCCGGCGGUGAGGUAACGCCGCGGGAGGCGGAGAGGCCCCGGCCCUUCUGUGGGCGCCCUCCGGAACUGUGCUGUUCGGCGGCGCCCCCGAAGCGCUCGGUGCUCACAGGCAGCGCUGAUGCUGUUAUGAAGCCAUCUGGGGCUUCAGCUGUGGUUACGCUUCUUGGCUUCGUAUGUAAACCUUAGUCUGUGUUUAAGCGCUGUGCAGCUUCGUUGUUUUUCCUCAGAGUAAUUAAAACCUGAUUUCAUUAGCUCAUUUUCAGCUACAGAAUGCGUUUUUCAUUUACUUAUCCUUGCACUGAAAGGACCUGUGGAUGUGGUUUUGAAGUUUUUGUGAGAAAUAAAGGGCUGCCUGAGUUUGUAAGUUAAAUCUCACCUCAAGCUUGUGUUCUUUGUGACUAAAUUUGGUGCUCUAGGAAGUGGUGUGCAAAGGGACAGCUGUAGGGAUUUUAUUGAGGUAAUAGCAUAGAUAAGCUGUAGUAAAGUUAAUGCAUGCCAAUAAUGCUUAGUGUUGACUACAGGACACCUCUAACACGUUUGGAGGUGUAGCACAGGGCACGCAGCACAGCUGUAGCAUUCUGGUGUUUGGAUCUCUUCUGUCAAUAGAAAGAUGUAUACAACAUAUAUAUAUAUAUAAAGGUUUGGGAUGCUCGUUUGAUUGCUGAUGUAACUUCUGUGUUGUAGUCGAUGCAGUGGAUAAACAGAAGAAGAAAUGCUGUAGUGUACAUUCAAGUUAGUAAAGUAAGUUAGUAAAACUUAGAAUCAUAGAAUCACGAGGUUGGAAAGGACCUACAAGGUCAUCUAGUCCAACCGUCCCCCCCAUUAUCGUUACUAUCAUGAGCCACUAAACCAUAUUUUGUUGCUCCUCUUCAGAAGUUCAAGAAGUUUGCUUUGAAUGUCAAGUUAUGGUAUCUGUGUGGCGUGUAAGAGUUGAAUGAUUCUAUGGUUUUGGAGGGACCGUUUGUAUCUCUGUGUAAAAUAGAGUACUGCUCAAUAAAUAAGAGUUCCUGACAAAACUAACCAGUCUUGUUUCUGAUUUCUAGCAGAAAAAUUCUGUCCAUCUGGGCGUAGCUGUUCUUGGCACAGGAAGUUCUUGGCACAUCGCUCAUCUAACUACUAUGAGCAAAAGGAUUAUGUUUUUCUGCAUAGUAAGUCAGCAGGAGAGGUGACUUGUUCUUUUAUGGCGUUUAAAGUACCUAAGAAUGUCAAGCUAAGCAGCACCCCGAGUAGCGUAAACAUUCACACACAACUUGGGCAUGAUGUGUGCUGUAAUGGAAUGAAAGAGCUGUACUCCUGGCAAGGCAGGGACUACUUCUAAUUUUGGUUUAAACUAACUUUUCAUUGAAACGUGAACUUCAGAACUCAGGGUUGCACUGUGAUACUGAAUCACUGCAUGUCAGUGUUAAAUAUCUGAGCAUUAAAUGUACAUUGUCUGUAUCAGAUCCUUGCAGCUGUGCUUCUUCCUUCACAGUGUGAUCUCUUAUAGGGAAAUGUUUGUCACGAGGGGGGGAAGAGCAGCAGAACUCCCUGUUGGAAACCACUCUGUCAUGAACCACUCUGUCAUCUUUACAAAACUAACAUUCAAUACUAAGUUAUGAGACAAACAUUCCUGAAAUAUUAACUACUGUAAUUCUUGUUCUAACAUGGAGCUCUGUGUGUAAUGAAAUACUGUGUUACUUUGUCAGGCUUCAGGAGUUCAGGAGACUUCAUGCUGCUUUUAUUUCCUGUUUCUAAUGUUUACUUCUGCCUCUUCAGACGUUCUUCCCCUUGCUGUUUCUAUUCUGCCAGUAAAUAUGGAAUCUGUUUCCAGUGGCUGAGCAAACAUCUGCAUGUAGAAUCUGCUUGUAUGGAGCUGCUGUUUCUGUACAAAUGAACAUCAGGUGUGUGCUUGCUAUGGAACUUUACUAUCUCACUCUGCAGUCUGCUCAUUGCAGUGUGUCAGGUGGUUGUGAAGUCUUUAGUACUCCAGUGUGAAGGGGAAAAAACAACGAAACCCAAGAAAUGUGGAGUUGACAACAGAAAGUUUGGUCAGUAACAGUGCGAUUAUAAAAAUGAAAGGCUAAACCUUCCUUCCUACUCAGUGCUUUACUGCUGAGUCUCAGCAGUAAGUUCCUUUGUGUUAUUUAUUUAUAUAUAAAUAGAGGUAGCAAUAAAAAGUGUGUAUUUAAAAAGAAACAGAAACCAUCCCGCUUAGUGCUUACUUCCCCCAGCACUGUCAUCGUAUCCCAGUCCUUGUGUUCAGAAAAAUGGAUGCUGUUAUUGAACAUAACUGCGUGCUGCUUCUGGCACUUCCUGGAGUGUUGCUGGAGGAAGUGUAGCAACCCUUAAGAAACUGAGUUAGUGCGUUUUUCUUCCCUGAAUUUUACUAGUAGCUUCGUAAACCAGGUAUGGGUAUGUUUUGCAGCAGUGCAGUAAUGCAUAUUUAUAAUGUAGUGCUUUGCAUGAGGAGAACCAAGCUUCCCGUUAGCUCUGCACGUGACAGUAGUGCUCACUCUGCAGUUGCUUCUUCCACUAACACAAGUGAAAUGAUGCAUGCUUAGCUUGUCUGAGUAGCUCUUGGUGGUGGUUUUGGAGAACUCCAGGGAGGAGCAGUCCUCCUCUUACUGAAUAGAUGAUGUCCAGUCCAACUGCACUUCCUAACUACAGCUCUGUGUGCUUUAAGACAUGUGCAGGAACAGCAGGGCAUCAACUGAUCUGUUAUUAGCAGCCUCGUAUGAGAGGUUUUAGUUCUCAGCUGAUAGAACUGCUGCUCUCAUCCUAGCCUGUGUUAGCCCAGGGGAGGUGUUUUGCUAUUUGCCAUGCCUUCUUUUAAUUCCAGCCAUAAAACAUUCUCUUUUUGUUAAGAUUGAUAUGGUAUUCUCACGGUUGGGCAUAAUGAGAGCUGUAUUCAAAGAGACUUAUUUUUAUUUUUCCUGGUAUGGAAUUUUCUGUUAUGAGAGCAGCUGUUGAAGGGUGCCCGUUGCUGGAGUUGACCCAACACUGGAUUUUAAAGCCAGUUUUUGCAUACUUCGUUGUGUGCUGUUAAAGCAUCUGAAUCUAAAAGUUUGCCUAGCAAAGGCUCUAAUUACAGAUCCGUUUAGUUUCCUGUAUUACUUGUCAUGACCACACAUUCCCCUUGAUGACAACGGUGAGGCUGUUACAACUAUAUGAGGGAAGUGGGUGCAAAUCUUUUGUCCUCGCUGUGCUGCUGGAAAGCAGCAGUGUGGGACUACAGAAGCUAUAGUUCAGUAUUUGCAGUUUCAGUGUGUGGUGAAAGAUUUUGACUGCUGUUAUCCUGCAGGAAACCUGUGAUACCAGAUCAGGUGUACACAUAGACUGAGUGGGUGUCCAAUGCUGUUCCUAUCUAAGGUGCUCACUGAUGCCAAGUGGAUAACUAAAACGAGUUGUUUCUUUUUUUGAGAAAGCAACUUCAGUUGGAUUAUUGUCUCAGUACUCGUGUUAGAAGAUCCAGAGCAGUGGGGUUUCUAUUGUGUUCUUAAGCUAAUGGUCUGAGUGAUUUCUGGUGGGCAACCUGUAGAGUCUUUGCUUAUGCUAAAUUAUGCUGGUAUCUUGGAAGGCUUUUUUUCCUUCAUAAUACUUCCUCUUGCAGAAGUAGCUACAUUUUAAAAGUAUGAAAGGCAAUGUAGAGCCACGUUUCCAUAUACACUGGAUUUCAGAGACACUGACAACUGGCUUGCUCAUUGGAUUUUUACUAAGGUGCGUAUUUCCCCAUUUGUAGAGAAAGAAAAUACUGUUCUAAUGGUGAUGCUGAGUCUUUGGACAUGGGUUGCCCACCAGCACAGCUGUCACUUUCAAGCUUGUCAGUGCUGAUAAGGUGUUAAUUAAUAUCAUGGAUGGUCAAGAGGUGCAGGUUGUAGAGCAGCAUCACCCAGCUGAAUGUGGGCAGAGAUUGAGCCUGCUGAAAGCAGUGUGUGUGCCACUAUUAGCAUGCAGCCCAGCACAAGGUAGCAAAACUACUUCUGCAAGCAAGGAUUUUCAGCAAAAGAAAACUUGUGAGGGCAGUAGUUACGUUCUUUCUUCUAGGGCUUUUACUUGUCUAAAUUACUUCAAUCACUUACAGUUAAUUUACUUUUCAGCCUCAGCCAACGAGACUGCAGUUCAUCAGUAUUGAUUAUUUUUGAAGGCAUUAAUGCCCUCAGUCUAAUGAUUUAAAUGUUAGUAGCUAUAAACAGCCACCGUUAGCAAGAACGUACAGCUUAGCUGGUGACUGCAUCCUAACUCUUUCCUACUUUUAAGCCUUCUUUUCAAACUUACUUUUUAUUUCUGUAUUUUGUUUGCUGGCUGUUAUUACAGGUAGUGAAUUCCCUGCCCACGUGGGAAGUAGCUGACCAGCUGGCACUGUUAGCAUCCAGGCUGUCAAUUAGUUGCAAGCCUGCACUGCUCCCAGGAGGUUUGUAUUUUCAGGGAUGUGGUGUUUUUUUUUCCUGUUAGGAGUUGCAGAUCAUCUGUGUGGUGCAGUACUGCUACAGCUGCACUGCAAACAGAGCCACUGUUAUAAGCUGUGUUCUAUCGAUUUCCAGAACGAAACAGCAAGUCUUCCUAGCAAGUUUUAACUGUUCUGAUUCAAUGAAAGGCAUCUUUUAUCAGGGGGCAGCAGUUUCUUCCUUGCAGGCAGCAAAACGGGGUGACAAACUGGUAUGGGAGUAUUGUUCCAACUCUAAUUUGGCUGGGGAAUGUAGUUGCUUGUUAAACUGACUCUCCUACUGGAAACACAUGAAGCUAUGCUUUGAUUCCACUUCCCGACACAGUAUUUCAGAUUUCUGCUAUUCCUGGAACAUAUAGGAAUGAAUCUGGGGAAAAACAGCUUCCAAAAGUUGUGCUCUUUGUGGAGUGUAGAUACACAGAGCACAACUUCAGUUCUCAUUCUAUGUAAGCACACUGCUGAAGUCAUCUAAUGUUGCUGGAACCUGUUAAUGUGUCUCAGUCUUGCCCCAAAUGACAGCAGCAGAUUCCUGCUUUUCUAAAGAUCUUGCAGAAAGGACAUGUUGUACUUUCAAUUUUUUUUUCUGGUUUUAAUGUAGGAAUUGCUGGAUUUUUUUGGUAGGUGUUUGGGAUGGAUCGGCUUCUGUGUGCAUUUACUACAACUUAACCUCCUGUUAGCAUAAUCUGUGCUAAUCUGAGUGGUUUUUGGACUCGCAGGCUGUACAUGUCAUAAAAUGUGGUCUAAUUUUAUGCACAAGUAAACCACCCCAUAUUUGAUCUAAUCUUUUUAUUUGGCUUGUCUUACCAUGUCAAUUAAAAAGGUAUCUUUUGUGGAUAGUUCUUAGUUUACCUUUAGGAGAAACUUCAGGGGAUUUAACUUUUCCCUCUAUCUGAUGACAUGCAUGUGUUUGGACUACAAACUAUGCAAGGCUGCUGUCUGCUUUAUUCUAGUUGUCCAUUUUUGGUUUGCACAGCAAUCCUGAGAACCAUUUUUAAACAACAGCUUCAGAGUCCUUUAAUAGCUAGCAGUAUGCUGAAGAUGAAAGAAUGCUGCAUCUGGAAAUGAGAGACUUACUUUGAGCUCGGUUGUAGAUCCUGUGUUCUCAAAUACUGUCAUGCAUUUCCUAGCCAGACAGUAAGGCUCCACCCUUACCUUUUCUAUAGCCUGUUCCCUGCAACUCUGUGCCCUUGGAAAUAAGGGAUGGCAAGCUCAUCUAGUAGGGAAAGGUAGAGGCAGUAAAUGUCUCCAAAUAUCUGUCCUUUGUUAGGUAAAGGUAACUUCAUGCAUGUAACUUGAAAAACUGGUGUGUGGAGUAAAAACUGGUCAUCCUUUUAGAGCUGUGCAACAGGAAUAGAAGGAGGGGGAACAAACAGUCUCUUUGCUGUGUUUUUGGUGGUGGUAUGCACUCAAAAUCCUAUUUUUAUCUUCAGUCCUGAAAUUCUGCACUCUGGGGUUAUGAUUAUCAUUCAACAAUAUAUGUUAAGCAGUUCACUGUUUUCUGUACCCUUCUCUUGUUAACAGUUAAAUCUUAAGGAAAAGCACCAAUAUGUGCAGUUAUAUCAAAGCCCCUUUUUUAGAGAUGACCAGGGCUGCACAGCCAAAUAGCAUCUCAAGUGUUAUUGCACCCACAUGGGCAGUGGAACUUGCAGAGAAGGGAGGCUUUUAACCUUAGGCCAUCAUGCUAUUUUUGGUGAUGAGAAGUGAUAAAUGACUUAUGCCUGGCAUUGCUUAGAUCUGCUUGGAAUUCAUUGUUUGAGCUGCUUCCUUUCUGAGUCAGCACCAACUACAGAUGAGUAGUAUUUAUUGUGGAGCUAUCCUUACAUCUAUCUGUCAUACCAGAAACCUUAUGUGUGUGUUACUUGUCAUAUUCUAACAGCUCAAUCUUAACAUAAUUUUAUCAGUAGUAACAUAACUUUGAAUGAAGAUAUUAUCCAAAAUCCUGUAAAAACAGUGCAGUCUGUGGAAAUGGAUUACUCUGAUGCUGCAGUUUAAAUGUGAUUUGUUUUUUGACCACUGCAAGUAGAGCUGCAAGUUCCCAAAGUAGUCAUGGAGACAAAUGUAAACUAGAUAUGGGAGUAUUGUUAGAUUUGUCACCUGAGGCUCACCUUAGUCCCCUUAAUUUUCUGGAACAACACCUCUGUGUGUGGACAUAGUGAGUAAAUAAUUGUAACAGGGAACGUGGCAUACCUGGCUGUACAUCACAUCAGAGCAGUGACUCAGCAGCUGCUGAGUAACUAUCAGCAGGUGAGCGAGACCUGGAGAGGAAUGAUUCCUCUACAUUCUACCCUUCUUUGUUGUUGGAUCUGUGUAUUUCUAAUCCUUUCUGUGGUGGAAGGAUGGCUUUAAGCUAAGAGGUAAACAAUUGUAUAGACCAGCUUUCUUCCAGUGUUCCAUUAGAGCAUGUACUUUGGGUCUCAAGCAAUGGUAUUUGCCUUUAAUACUUUGAAGUUUUAUUCCAGCACAGCAAGAACUACAGUUGUGCAUUCCAAGUGGGUAUGUGACUUUCUGUUCUAUUACGUAUUCCCAUAAAUGGCCAGAGCCCAGACUAAGUAGGUUACUUGUUAAGCCAGAAGCAAGAAAUGCUGCCAUGGUAAGGGCUAAUUAUGCCUUUCUGGUAUCUUCAAAACUAAAACCUCCCAGUACUCUUGGCAGAAAUAAUAAAAAUGAAUGUUAAGAAUCACCUCUUGCUGAAAUCAGAGAUUCAGAAACUUUCUGCCUUGCUAAGGGCAUGUUUGUUAUCCUUGCAAUAUACUUUUGCAUUUCAAUGUUAAACUCAACUUAAAAACAACCAUUUCCAGGCCAACCAUAGAAGCUCCCUUCUUCAGAGAAGGGCAUCCAAGCCCUAUUUCUGCAGGCAGGCACUGCUGGUUUAACUGGCUCUGGGAGCUUUUGGAGGCCACUCUUAGACUGCUGGUUUUGGUCUAUUGAGUUUAUCACUGAGCCUGCAACUGUUCCAAUCAGCUCUGAAUAGAGGCAUAGUCACCUGGUGUGUUAAAAGGUGGGAGUAUGUGGCUACUUUGCUUUAGGUAACAGCUCUUCCAGGCCUUCUGUGCUGCAGAGGCUGAAUGUGUGUACUUUCUCAGGCAUGCCCUGGGUGUGAAGCUGCAGGAGGCUGAUGGAAGCUUUCCGAUCAACAGCUGACCCAGUACCUCUGACACCUAGAUACUGUUUAAGCCUGAAGUGUAAGGAAGUAUCUAGAAUUACAGCUAGACUUGCCCUUCUCUCUUAACCCAGUAACAUAACUUGUAAGACUGUUACAUUUCCUGUACCCAGUCCUAAAUGGAAGGAUUAGAAAAGUAUAGCUGCUUUAGAAGGACAACUCCUUAUUGUCACUUAGCAGUUUAUCAGCAAGGUUUCAGGUUUGGAAUCAAGGAGUCAUGUUGUUGCAUUAAAGCAAGUGGAAGAUCAGUCCUCAGCUUUAGGCUGCAAUUAGAUUACUAACUGGCUUUUACUGACUCAGUAGAGCUGAAUUGGCAAUAAGCUUCAGUAGUAAAUUCAGACUGAAUGCAACACAAAACUAAAGCCUGACUCAGGUACCAUUGCUAUACUGUUGCCUCAGGGGACAGCACUCAAGGAAGCUGUUCAUCAGUCAUGAUUAAUCUUACUUCAGGGAGGCCUGAUAGAGUUGUAGCAGUUUGACAGCUGUGCUUAGCUGGAAAGGCAAGAGUUCCAUGUGGCCUGACUCUAGCCCAGGCUUAAGCCUGAGUCAGUCAUUAAGCACUGACAGAGACCCAUUUAUCUCAAUUUCCUUUGCUUUGCCACCAAGAAGAAACAGAACCUGUAUCCUAUAAUCUCAUUAGGAAAGAGACUGCAGAAGUAUGGGAGCUUUUUUAAAAAGUAAAAAAAAACAUUAAAACUAAAGAGAGGGAGUGUUUUUUCUUUAAGGGCUGCUCAUUACUAAUAAUAUGCAUUACUAAAGCAAUUGGUUUGUUAAGAAAGCAUGCAGUUCAGACUAAAGAUGCCCAUUAGAAUUUUAGUUAUGUGCAAAGACCUCCAUUUUGAGUCUGAACUGACAGACAGAUGAGUUUGGUACCUCAAGUUUCAAGAUUUGUAAGUGACUUAGGCUAAAUGCUGUCUGUUUUCCUAAGAGCUGUGAAAAGAAACCAUGAAAGAUUCUUUUUAGCUCCUAGGAAGGUCAGCAAUGGAUUCACAACUGAUUUACAGAACUACAGCAGAGAAGCUGUUAAUAAAUGUAAAGCUGAGAUGUGUUAAGCUAUAUUACUGGAGUGAAAAACAGCAAAAAGUAAACAGUUCAGCUCUGCAAGUUAAUUCCAAGUAGUCCUUGUGUUACUUUUCAUUAAUCCUAUUCUGGGCUUAAUACUCCAAAUUAAAGAGUUUUCCUGGAGGCUGGUUGAAGUUGUCAGCUGCAUGUAUCACACUAAGUUGUAAAGGAGCUGGCUAUCUACUCUGCCCAGAAUUGGAAACUGCCACUGUGACAAGUGAGAAUAAGGACAGUGGCUGGUUAAUCCAGGAUCAGCUGUAAACAAGAGACCUGUCAGAGCCCUAAGCAGCUGGCUUGGCUGUGUCUAGCUUGGCUCAAAACUUCUGCUGUAGUAAGCAGCAGCUACACUAGAAUGAUCACACCUUCAGUGACUGCUUUGAUAUAUAGUACAGUUUAGAAUACAGGUGCAUUCUUGAUAAUGUCAAUCCUACCUUAUUUUGAAAUAAAAGCUAACAGACAGUAAAAUGGAAAAUUUAUUAGUGCAAGUUGGUCACUCAGUUUUUUCCAGCAAGUACAGAGGAGAUCCCAUGGUUAAUACGCUAUAAACAAACCUGUACUAAGUCAAACUUGUCUUGUAGUAACAAUGUGUUACAUAUUUUCAUCAUCUGAUUCAUCUUCCUCUUUCAAAGAUUCCUAUUUAGGAAAAAAAAAGUAAUUAAAAAAAGGGAGUUUUGCUGUAGUUUUACAACUUUCUCCACCUACACAAAGGCUGCUAUUCAGCAGGCCUGGUUUCUACUUCAGAAUUGAGAACUGGGCACCACUGCUGCUUUUAAAGCAAAUAAAGCUGUCAGCUGCUGGAGGAGCAGCUUUUCCAGCUGGUUACCUUUAAAAAAGGUAUUUUAGUUAACAUGACUUACUGCAUUCCCCAUUCACUCACAUAACUAUUGAAGAGUUAAUACCUUUAUUUCUGAAGGAGAAGUGAGAGGUGGACAGGCCUGCUGCCAUGCCCUGUUUUUAAAAGGACGAACUAUCUCUGGAUUACAUGGAGAGACCUUCACAAUUCUCUCAGCAGGAGAUAUCCUAAGUACAAGUGAUUUGUGUAACUAUGCCUUUUCUAGUCACUGCAGUGCUACAAUCCUACUUCAUUCAUUCUAUUCCCAUUCUUGUCAAGAGCAGCACUGAGAUGACACCAGUGAUGUCAGAACUUACCUUGGCGUAUUUUUCUGCUUCUUCCCUUAUGUCUUUGGGAACAAUUUCAUGUUUUCCAUUGGUUACUGCAAAUGAAGAGUACCUAUUAGACAGAAUUCACACAACGCUGUGUGAUAAGUAAAACACUGCUUCUGCACAUUCUCUUAAAUACAGAAAAUGAGCAGCUUUUUAUACUGUUUACAGAAAACUUAGAAAUGCAUUACUUUCUCCAACCCAGCUGAGUUCCAACUCAAAAGCUUUAUCCUUUACUUCGUCAUGAACGAUGUAGAUUCUGGAAAGAAUGGAGAGGGUGGAGGUUAGAACAGAUUUGGUGACAGGCAAAGUACACUUUCUUCCUUUCACAGAUUUCUUACACGUAACUGAUCCUUUCCCCCUGUUUUCUCUUUAGUCUCUCCCUUUAUGUUCAUCUCCCUUUAUGUUCAUCCCAUUUCAAGAGAAAAAGACCAUAUCAGAGAAUAUUGUGUAAGCCUACAACAGCUUACAGCCUUCCUUGUGAGGGUGGUAUUCCUUCAAAAAGACUUAAGUUUAGCAUACAAAACUAUUUCUAGCCAGCAUAGGAAAUCUGGGGACAGUAGAAGGAAGGAUACCUUCACUGAAAAAGUGCUUUUCAUUCACAUUUGAUAAAGGCGUUGUGAAACAAAGUUAGCAAUGGUGUCUAAAGAAAUACUGUAUGCAUGCUCUGUCCCUGUUAAGACUAGACUUGAUCAUUAUCAAGUCCAUCUACAGGUCUUAGUUAAGUGCUAAGCUGUUCACAGGCUUUUCAGCAACAAUAUGAUUUCUUCAAGGGCUUGAAAUAGCUCUUGGCCAUUAUUUUAGGAUUAAGAAAUGAUUAAAACGUUUGGUAUCUUGCUGAGUGCCACUAGGUCUAGGGUUAACAUGUAAGAAAACAGAACUACCUCAAAUUACUGCUAAGUUUUGAGCUGAAGCAGAAUUGAAGAACGGAAGGUUUCAAAGCAUUGGAAGACUUGUGCCUCCUUUGUGCACUUUCAGAAGUGUUUUGAGGUCCUUGUUAGGUUUCAAGAACAGAGAGCCCACACAUUCUUUCCUUUAGUAGCAAACAUGAUAGCCUCUGACACAGACUCAUAAACAAACUUGCAUGCUGCAACACCAUUGAUGGAAACAUUUAUUACUUCUUUAUGACCUCUAAGGAACAGCCAUAAAAGGCUGGAGAUUAUUUCUGCAGCUGCAUAAUAUUAGAUCUGUGACAAGUGCAGAAGUAUCCCUGAAAGCAUUAAUUAUUGUAGAUAGCUAAAAGGAUACCUGUAUUUAUUUGAAGAGAUCAUAGAAUGCCUUGGGCUGGAAGGGACCUCAAGGAUCAUGAAGCUCCAACCCCCCGCUGCAGGCAGGGCCACCAACCUCCCCAUUUAAUACCAGCCCAGGCUGCCCAGGGCCCCAUCCAACCUGGCCUGGAACACCUCCAGGGAUGGACGGGGCAUCCACAGCCUCUCUGGGCAGCUGUUCCAGCACCUCACCACUCUCAGAGUAAAGAACUUCCCCUGACAUCCAACCUAAAUCUUCCCUCCAAGUAUUUUUCAAGAUGAGUACCAGCCAAAUUAUAUUCUACAUUAGCAGAAGCCUUCCUGGUAUCUUUCCCCCCCUUUAAUAGUACACAACUUACUAAAUGAUGUGGUUUUGUCCUUAAGUACACUAUACUCAGAGUUCCAGUAAUGAAAAUCAACAUGCUGAAGACUUUCCCCCAUCUAUCUCUGGCUUUAUAUAUAUACUUGAAAACCAGUGACCCUAUUCAGACAGUUCAAGCAUUAAUUCACCACAGCUGUAAGUCACAGACAGAGCAGUUAAGAUUAUAAUGCUUAUUUUUUGCAUCUUUUGCCAUUUCUCAGUACUGAGUAGCGUGUCCCAUCUCACAAGACAAAUGUUAAUAGAACACCAUACUACAGCCAGCACGAGCACUCAUCUACAGAAGUGAAACCUGGUACCUAACGCAAAGGGAACAGUGUCAGUUUGAAGCCCUAACAAGCUCACCAGUACACAUUUUUGCUGAGUUGGAGAAACACAUUGGAGACUUACAUUUUCGCAACCUCUUUGACAACGUCACGGCAAGUCAUUUCCUUCAUCUGCACACAGAAAACAGAACAUCCUGUUUUGCAUUUGGCCAGCAAACAACGAGCUGGAGUGGAACAGAAUUCGUUCUCCACAAAAACAUACCUGUCAUUAUUGAUUAGACCAGCAUAUUUUACACCAAGCUUAGAGUAGAAUUCAUUAGCUCCAUAUAGUUUACCAUCUCAGAUUCUCAACCAGUUUUCAAAGCCAUAGCAUGGAAGUUAGUGGUGAAGGACAGCAGCUCUUUGUUCAUGCUGAGUCUGACAGCACUUCCUAUGUGUGUAAGGCACACAGCCAAGUAAGCGGUGGGCCAGAGGAAAAUGAAACCUGCCUGCUUAGGUAGAUGUGCUGUUGCAUUUGCAUCCCAAGAAGUUUCCUAAACAGACAGGGACACACUGUCGCAGCCCCAACAUUUGUGACUCAAUCCGUAAUGCAGCACUGACUUCUAUUUACACGUAUAACUUGUGUCACACAAACACAACUAUGUGUAUUUACACACACGAAGUUCGUAGUGGAACAGGAAAACCCAAAGGUCUUUUACUGUCAUGCAUGUUUACAAAACAGAGCUUUAAUUAUAUUUUGUCAUUAUUCUUUUCCCAUCCUAGUUAAUUUUGCAGAAAGUAAUGGGAAAUACUGUAAUGGUUUAUUUCAGGAGUUAAUUACAAUUAUGUCCACAUAUCAAAGUUUUAGACAGUAUCUGAAAAUAACGUGAGAAGCACUGUAGAAGAGAUGAAAAGAUUCAUGUAUGCUCCGCAUGACAGAAAAUAUCCAGUGUUUGCAUAAUGUGCAACAGAUGUGAUCAGUGCAGUGUACCCCAGUGGCAGUAUAAGCUACAUGUGCAGGUUUCACAUACUGCAUCCCCUCCCACAUACAGCAUCUGCGCUGCAGUACCUGUCAGACAGGUUUCAAGUUUGAGAUGAUAUUCUCGCCUCUUUCUUUCCAUCUACAGUCAUCUUUCACAAGACAGAAUCACAGCUAAUAGGCUGCUAUAAGCCAUAUCAUAGAAUCAGAGAAUCCUAGAAUGGCCUGGGUUGAAAAGGAUCACAAUGCUCAUUGAGUUACAGCCUCCUGCUAUGUGCAGGGUCACCAACCAGCAGACCAGGCUGCCCAGAGCCACAUCCAGCCUGGCCUUGAAUGCCUGCAGGGAUGGGGCAUCCACAGCCUCCUUGGGCAACCUGUUCAGUGCGUCACCACCCCCUGGGUAAAAAACUUCCUCCUCAUAUCCAACCUAAACCUCCCCUGUCUCAGUUCAAGACCACUCCCCCUUGUCCUGUUGCUAUCCAGCCUCAUCAACAGUCAUCAUCACCCCACAAAAGCAUUUGCACUUCUUGUCUUCUUCCCAUUUACAUUUUGGCAUUUGGUCAGAAAUUCACCUGAACAAAAUCAACUCUGACCCAGAACCUGUCCAGCCCACAGUUAACAAGAAGCAUCAGCACACAAGACUGUGCUUGCUUCAUGCUGCUCUGACAUCACCACACCAAAGGCAUUCUGCAAGCAAGCCAUGACAGAUGUCAGUGCAGCUGUGCUGUGUGACACACCCCUGUUCUCAUCUACUGAACUUUACAGGCUUUACUAUGAAGUUCAAGGACUACAAAUACUAUAGCUCUACAAAAAAAAAAUAGGCAAUAAAAAGUUUUUGGAAAUCCAAGAACUGCAGAGAAAACAUUUGUUGGUAAAUCAGAUCUUACCCAACUCGGUAUCUUUAUGUCAGUUUGCACACAUGGAAACAGAAAUGAUGACUUCUCAGAUGCCAAGAUCCCAGUAUCAAGAUCAGGUGAUCUUGUAGGAUUCCUACUUUUCAUUUGGUGUUCAGGCAUCUGACCAGAUUCAAGACUUAAAUUAACUGAGUCUUAGAAUAUUCUAACUUCUCCCAUGAUUUUUCAGUUGUGAUACCCCACCACCACCAACGGACUACCCUUAGAAGUCUACUGGAUGAACUGAGCCUUUCAGUGCACAGCUGUGGCGUACAUUUGUAGGUGAAAGCUGUAAGUAAGGUGCAAAGCAGAGUGUAAAGUAUGCUGGUACACAAAGCUCCCCCUUUUAAACACGUGUGCUUGCUAUGGACUACACAUUGCCCAGGGUCAAGAUGCCAGAAAUACUGCUACUACAGAGACAAAGACAACAUAUAAGGAAAUACUUCUCUUUUUCUUGUACUUUAUGUAUUUAAGGCAUCCAAAAAGGUAACGUCAUAAUGUAGAAAUAUCUGUCCUGAAAGCAACACAAUAAAACUGAAACACCCUACCUGAAGUUUUUCAAUCUCUGUCUUUGCAGCCUGCCUGGCUUUACCGAUGGCACACCCCCAAUAACCCUAAAAUAAGAAACAAGGAAAGUGCAAGGUUAAUGAGAUACUACAUCCUCCACGUUUCUUACUGUCACACAGCAUAUAACAACUCCUUCACUCCUGUAAUGAGAAGGCAGAUAGACAGCAAGCAUUGCUACUGUUCUGCCCAAGUUCUUAGGUUAAGCACUACCACCCUUGACAGAAGUACUCAGUAGUUCCUCUGGGCAGAAACGUAUCUGCUCAGUUUGUUGUAAUGGAUCUUUUACAAUAAUUAAAAGAAACUAGAAUUAGAGAGGUUCUGUGAGAAACACACGUACAAAGAGAAAACCAACAGAAAAGCCCACCGAUCAUGAAAACACUUUGAAGUGCAAGCAUAGAAACCUCAGCACUUCAACAGUAGAGGUGUUAGACGUAUUGAAAGAAAAAUAAGAGCAGACGAGCGUGUUUGUAUCACCCUGUGCAUAACACAACAAACAGAAAUGUCUCCUUUGAAUUGAACUGCAUCACUGCAGUGCUCACAUCUCUGAGGCAAUGGAUGGGAUUCUCCAUUGCAUACAGCCAGGCGGAACGAACUCCCAGAUUUCUGAGAUCAGCUUUAAAAAUGGGUUUUAUGGAAAUGGUGCUACUUCUAAGAAAUGCACACCGCGUUACUGGUUCCCAAAUUAGAAGCUUUUAAAAGAGCAGCUCAGAGCCAGCAGUAUUUCUGAAAGACUCACGUAUGAAACUCCUGACGGAUCAAUCAUGUACAGUUGUGCACCGUCGUCGUCAUCAUAGGACCCCAACAUGAAACUGCGUGAGAAAAAGUGAAAUCAAACCGUUGUUCUACCAACCCACACAGUGAUGGCAGCUGAAUCAAGUCAGGAUUCCUACGCUCUUGGUGCAUAACCCCCACUAUCCUACUACAUUCUAUAAGCAGCCUGUCUGAAGGGCUCAGUGUUACUGUGACACCCAACGACCUGCAAUUCACCAGAAACAUUUUACUUAACUACAACUCAACAGCAGACCUCAGUUUAAUAGUCCUUCAGUAGUACAGCUGCACGGCAGUCGUUUCCUAUCCUUCAGGGGACGAUCACAGAGAAAAGUUCUGCUUUCAAGACUGACACAGAUCAACUCCUCAGCUUUAAACCUGAGGGACUAUAGCAGUCUAUACAGAGCCUGGAUUGCUCUUAUGCAUACGUGGAUUUCUCACCUAAAGUUUUCCAUGCACACACGUUAAAAAAAGGACAGGGGAAGAGGUUCCCACUUCCACAUUACCAAUACCAAAUUUGAAGGAGUUUAGAAGACAUAAAUAGCUCCAGCACUUCUGAAACAAAAGGCCCCUACAAAGAAGCAUGCAUUGGAAAGACCUACCUGCAACCAAAAGGUCUGACAGCGCUGUACAGUGUGUAUGCAUGCACGUACAUCGCCACUCUGUCUGCAAGAUGCUGAGGGGAGAAAGAAAAAUAAGUGGAGGCCUUUAUUUGCAGAAAUAAGUAAAUCGUGAUUUAUAACUCGAUGUUAUUGGUAUUAAGAUUAAGAAAGCCAAAAACUCCAUGUGAACUGUGCCAAUUUCUUACCUUCAGUGGAAUAUCAUAGCCAUAGUUAGUCCGGAAGUUAGAAGCUUCUUCUCUAGCUAUGUCUGCCAACGAACGAGCAUCUGCCAGCAGUCCUGCUACUGCCUGAAAGGAGAAUUGCCCAUCACACAGUCCAAGUGUGGCUUAUAAAAAGCUUAUGAACAAUAGUCUAACCACAAGGCUUAAUCAAGGUCUUUACAAGUGAGUUCCAUCAACUUUCUGCUAGCCGGCUUACAACGUCAAUGUGAUUAGAUACUAAUACAGUACUGAAUUUGUGAUUAGAUACUAAUACAGUACUGAAUUUUUCUCUAGGAAAAUUAAUAACCAAAGAAGUCUGAAAAGCUUCCAAGUACUUUUAGACAGCUUCAAAACACGGGCUUAUCUCUGCUUUAAGUUAGGAAUUCUGUGUGUGUGCAUGCAGUCAAGAAGAACUGCAAAAAAAUUGUCCAAAAAAAUUCCACUGGCACUUCUACGUACACAGAAACCUAACACAGCUUCCACAACCUUAUUAUUGAUUCUGAGCUCUGUGCAUUUCUGCUUUGGAGUAGGAAUUCCCCUUCGUGAGAAAUUAAACAGCACCUCACCAUUCCAACGUGCCGAUCGACGUUGAAGAGGCGUUUAUUGGAACCCUCUUCAUACAGCUUGGACAGAACGAGUUUUUCUACACCAAAGACAACGCCAUCUUUGCAUCUUAUGCCAAUUGCUGUACUGAAAGACAAAAGGGAGUUUCUCUUACACAGAAUAGGACUGUGAAGACAAGAAACAAAGAAUUAAUAAAAUACUAAAUAGAAUCAUAGAGUGGCUUAGGUUGGAAGGGACCUUAAAGAACAUUGAGCUCCAGCCCUGUGUGGGCAGGGUUGCCAAGCAGCGAUCAAAUGACACAAGGACAUAAUUUCCACCCAAGUAGGUCUGUUACUUUGAGCCUAAGGAAAACAAAGGGGGGCACAGAGUAAGCAAAUAAGUGUAACUUCAAAGGUAGAAGAGGCUGAGGAGCCCUUACCCAAAGAUCUGAGAACAGAACAUGUGCAGUACAAGCAGUUUAUAGCAACUGCAAAGCCGCUGCCCCUCCAGUGCCCCCACCCCAAACACCAACGUGAGCACAGAUUUCUUCCUGAGCACAUCGGCCUUUCAGUGCCUCAAUUCACACCCACAAAAUGUGUUUUUAGGUAUUCCAACAGCUCUGCUCCCUCAGCAGCUCAGCACUUUAUACAUACAAUGUCUGCAGUCCAGUCUUGCCCCACAGGUGUGAUUUAUUACCUUACCACACAGGGGUGUUCACAGCCCUGCUUUGUGUUCUCCACAACAAAGCAGGCAGAAGCCAUCACACCGUUUUUACUCUAUCUGAAGCCUCCCAAAUUGAG
rnacentral:lncRNA from 1 species